AUUGAACGCUGGCGGCAUGCUUUACACAUGCAAGUCGAACGGCAGCGCGGGGGCAACCCUGGCGGCGAGUGGCGAACGGGUGAGUAAUGUAUCGGAACGUAUCCUGUAAUGGGGGAUAACCAGUCGAAAGAUUGGGUAAUACCGCAUACGCACGAGAGUGGAAAGUAGGGGAUCGCAAGACCUUACGUUAUAGGAGCGGCCGAUAUCUGAUUAGCUAGUUGGUGGGGUAAAGGCCUACCAAGGCGACGAUCAGUAGCUGGUCUGAGAGGACGACCAGCCACACUGGAACUGAGACACGGUCCAGACUCCUACGGGAGGCAGCAGUGGGGAAUUUUGGACAAUGGGCGCAAGCCUGAUCCAGCAAUGCCGCGUGCAGGAUGAAGGCCUUCGGUUGUAAACUGCUUUGUACGGUAACGAAACGGUAGAGCUCUAAUAAAGACUUGCUAAUGACGGUACCGUAAGAAUAAGCACCGGCUAACUACGUGCCAGCAGCCGCGGUAAACG
rnacentral:rRNA from 1 species